rnacentral:rRNA from 1 species
GAUGAACGUUGGCGGUGUGCCUAAUACAUGCAAGUCGAACGGAGUCAGUAGCAAUAUUGGCUCAGUGGCGAGCGGGUGAGUAACGCGUUGGUGAUCUGCCUUGAAGUGUGGAAUAACGUUUCGAAAGAGACGCUAAUACCGCAUGUGCUCUCGAUUUUCAGAAAGUUGAGAGUAAAGGAUUUAUUCGCUUCAAGAGGAGCCUGCGUCCCAUCAGCUGGUUGGUAGGGUAACGGCCUACCAAGGCUAUGACGGGUAGGGGACCUGAGAGGGUGGCCCCCCACAAUGGAACUGAAACACGGUCCAUACACCUACGGGUGGCAGCAGUAGGGAAUAUUAGAAAUGGACGAAAGUCUGAUCUAGCAACACCGCGUGUGCGAAUGAAGGCCUUCGGGUCGUAAAGCACUUUUUGGAAGGAAUAGGAAGGAAUGUACUUCCAGAAUAAGUCUCGGCUAACUACGUG